rnacentral:rRNA from 1 species
UACGUAGGGCGCAAGCGUUGUCCGGAAUUAUUGGGCGUAAAGAGCUCGUAGGUGGCUUGUUGCGUCUGCCGUGAAAGCCCGUGGCUUAACUGCGGGUCUGCGGUGGAUACGGGCAGGCUAGAGGCUGGUAGGGGCAAGCGGAAUUCCUGGUGUAGCGGUGAAAUGCGCAGAUAUCAGGAGGAACACCGGUGGCGAAGGCGGCUUGCUGGGCCAGUUCUGACGCUGAGGAGCGAAAGGCGUGGGGAGCGAACAGG